CCGCCCGUAGCGAAGUUGGAUAUCGCAGCAGGUUCCGAUUCUGAAGGUCGGGGGUUCAAAUCCCUCCGGGCGGGCCA
rnacentral:tRNA from 1 species